rnacentral:rRNA from 1 species
AGAGUUUGAUCCUGGCUCACGAUGAACGCUAGCGGCAGGCCUAAUACAUGCAAGUCGAACGAGAUUAAGAGGCUUGCUUCUUAUGAAAGUGGCGCACGGGUGCGUAACGCGUAUGCAACCUACCUUAAUCAGGGGGAUAGCCCGAAGAAAUUCGGAUUAAGACCGCAUAAAAACACAGGAUAGCAUUAUCCAAUGUUCAAAUAUUUAUAGGAUUAAGAUGGGCAUGCGUGUCAUUAGCCAGUUGGCGGGGUAACGGCCCACCAAGGCGACGAUGACUAGGGGAUCUGAGAGGAUGACCCCCCACACUGGUACUGAGACACGGACCAGACUCCUACGGGAGGCAGCAGUAAGGAAUAUUGGUCAAUGGAGGGAACUCUGAACCAGCCAUGCCGCGUGCAGGAAGACAGCCCUCUGGGUCGUAAACUGCUUUUAUUCGGGAAUAAACCUUUCUACGUGUAGGAAGCUGAAUGUACCGAAGGAAUAAGGAUCGGCUAACUCCGUGCCAGCAGCCGCGGUAAUACGGAGGAUCCAAGCGUUAUCCGGAUUUAUUGGGUUUAAAGGGUGCGUAGGCGGCUUAUUAAGUCAGGGGUGAAAGACGGUGGCUCAACCAUCGCAGUGCCCUUGAUACUGAUGAGCUUGAAUACACUAGAGGUAGGCGGAAUGUGACAAGUAGCGGUGAAAUGCAUAGAUAUGUCACAGAACACCGAUUGCGAAGGCAGCUUACUAUGGUGUUAUUGACGCUGAGGCACGAAAGCGCGGGGAUCCAACAGGAUUAGAUACCCUGGUAGUCCACGCCCUAACGAUG